rnacentral:rRNA from 1 species
AGAGUUUGAUCAUGGCUCAGGACGAACGCUGACGGUGUGCUUUAGGCAUGCAAGUCGAACGAGAAAGCCCUUCGGGGUGAGUAGAGUGGCGAACGGGUGAGUAACACGUGGGCAACCUGCCCCUCGCAGGGGGAUAACCGGAGGAAACUCCGGCUAAUACCCCGUAAGCUUUCAGGGUCGCAUGGCCCUGUAAGGAAAGGUAGCUUCGGCCAUCCGGCGAGGGAUGGGCCCGCGGUGCAUUAGCUAGUUGGUGGGGUAACGGCCCACCAAGGCGACGAUGCGUAGCUGGUCUGAGAGGAUGAUCAGCCACACUGGGACUGAGACACGGCCCAGACUCCUACGGGAGGCAGCAGCCAGGAAUCUUGGGCAAUGGGCGCAAGCCUGACCCAGCAACACCGUGUGGGCGAUGAAGGCCUUCGGGUCGUAAAGCCCUGUUGAUGGGGACGAAGGGCGAAGGGUUAAUAGCCCCUAGCCUGACGGUACCUUUCGAGGAAGCCCCGGCUAACUACGUGCCAGCAGCCGCGGUAAUACGUAGGGGGCGAGCGUUGUCCGGAAUUAUUGGGCGUAAAGAGCGUGUAGGCUGUUCGGUAAGUCUGCCGUGAAAACCUGAGGCUCAACCUCGGGCGUGCGGUGGAUACUGCCGGGCUAGAGGACGGUAGAGGCGAGUGGAAUUCCCGGUGUAGCGGUGAAAUGCGCAGAUAUCGGGAGGAACACCAGUAGCGAAGGCGGCUCGCUGGGCCGUUCCUGACGCUGAGACGCGAAAGCUAGGGGAGCGAACAGGAUUAGAUACCCCGGUAGUCC